rnacentral:rRNA from 1 species
CCAAUAGCGUAUAUUAAAGUUGUUGCAGUUAAAAAGCUCGUAGUUGAAUUUCGGGAUCAGUAGAUCAGUCGUGCCUAUGGUAUGUACUGGUCUAACUGAUUCCUCCUUCUUGACGAACUGUAAUGUCAUUAAUUUGGUGUUGCAGGGAAUCAGGACUGUUACUUUGAAAAAUUAGAGUGUUUAAAGCAGGCUAAAGCUUGAAUACAUUAGCAUGGAAUAAUGAAAUAGGACGUUUGAUCCUAUUUUGUUGGUUUCUAGGAUCGACGUAAUGAUUAAUAGGGAUAGUUUGGGGCAUUAGUCUUCAAGUGUCAGAGGUGAAAUUCUUUGAUUUAUUGAAGACUAACUACUGCGAAAGCAUUUGCCAAGGAUGUUUUCAUUAAUCAAGAACGAAAGUUAGGGGAUCGAAGACGAUCAGAUACCGUCGUAGUCUUAACCAUAAACUAUGCCGACUAGGGAUCGGAUGAUGUUAAUUUUUUAAUGACUCAUUCGGCGCCUUACG